UCUGUGGAAGAAGGAGCAGGUGACUGGACUGCAGGAUCCACUGUCGAAGAUCCUGUUGCAGCCAUAUAGGCUGCCAGCUUUUGUCAGGAAGGGGCUGAAGAAGCUGUGGGGGGUGCUGGAAGGUAUCAGCUCCACGGUAAAACGGUUCCAGAAGCUCCUCCAAACCAUGGUGCCUGGAUUGCCUCUGAGAGCCGUGGCCAGGAGGUAGCCAUCCUGGAUGGCCCCUGGGGACCUCAGGCAUCACACGGUUCUGCUGGCCUGGGAAGCGGUGGGUGACACCGGAGCCCAUUUCACACAGUGGCACAGCUGUGGGUUUUUGUGGAGUAUUUUGGGGGUGGUUCUUUCACUUGGGAAAACCAGCUGAUUUCGUUCCUAGUGCUGCUGCAGUCUCCCUGCCCAGGCCUGACCUGCUUUAACAUGACGGCCAAACCGCAGUCUGCGCAGGGGGGAUUGGGCAUCUUUACUUGCAUGGGUGCACACCCCGGCUGCUGUUUUCCCUAGCCACUCCACUUGCUGAUCACCAGCAGCAUCCCUCCCCCUGCUUUAAUGCAGAUUACAGGGCAGACAUCUGCCAGGAAAUAUCCCAUUUUAAGUGUUUGCCUCCCACUCAAGAACUUUCAGAGAGAUUCAUCAAACAGAAAACAGAGAGAGGGAGA